rnacentral:lncRNA from 1 species
AUAGGAUGUGGGAGCAGAGGCUGAAGAAGAGUUGGAGGCUGAUUCAGCCUGGUGGGGAGCGAGCUGAGGAGGAGCAGUCUGGGAAGAAGAACUCUUGAUGGCCUGCUUCCCAUCCUCCAUCCUGGAAGACUGAUCUGAAACCCCAGGAGGAGGUCCUCUGAGCCCUGAGGCAGAGAUCUCUCACCUGGAAGAUGGGUCUAAUGACUGCGCCCCACACACACCAGAGAGGACUGCAGAUAGUGCGGGAUGAGAGGAAGAUCUCUGGCCCUGGAGACAGCAUCAUCAAGCGGUAGCUUCAUCUUUGGGAGCUGGGGCCUCUGCAGGAGCUUUACCCUCCUCUCUCCAUGCUGAGCCUGUCUCAACCCCCUAACCUGCACCCCAGUCUUUUGGGGUCACCUCAAGGCUUUGGCUGAUGCUUCUUUGCUGACGUCAACCAAGGUGAUGGACCCAUUUGUCCUUGUAAAGUAACUCUUGAACAUACAGGCACUUCUCCCUCCCUCCUCUUGCUUUGAAGGGUGGGUGGGCACCUGCCACCAUGGUCAGGGUGAGGGCCAGCCCCAUACCCCCAAUGUCAGAAGGCAGCUGCCCCUGGCCUGUGGGUUUAUCUCAGAGGGGCCAGGUUUUCCUCACUGUGUGUCCCCAGCACCUAGCCUGGGGCCCAGCCCAGGGUCACACUCAGUAAAUACUGGCUGAGAAUUAAGGGGGAACUUUCUCGUUCCCCUCCAACACUUUUCUUUUCUUUUUUUUGAGACAGAGUCUCACUCUGUCGCCCAGGCUGGAGUGCAGUGGCGCGAUCUCGGCUCACUGCAACCUCCACCUCCCAGAUUCAAGUGAUUCUCCUGCUUCAGCCUCCCGAGUAGUUGGGAUUACAGGUGCCCGUCACCACAUCCGGCUAAUUUUUGUAUUUUUAGUAGAGACGGGGUUUUGCAUGUUGACCAGGCUGGUCUCGAACUUUUAACCUCAAGUGAUCCACCCGCCUUGGCCUCCCAAAGUGCUGGAAUUACAGGCAUGAGCCACCGCACCUGGCACCAAUGCUUUUCUGCAAGUGCUAGUGUGUGCCAUAGAGACAUCUGUGCAUGCCCAGGGGCGGCUGAGGGGCCAUAAGCCUCCUUUGACUCCAUUAUCUUGCCUGUGCAGGCCAGACGAUUGCCUGAACCCACAAUAGCUUCACCAGAAGAGGGGCUUACUCAUCACUUCCACACAACCUGUGCCCCUCCCCCACUGGGACCAGCUGGGGUUGAGGGGGUGAGGGUCAGGCUGGGGAAGGCUCCUGGAGAUUGCAUUUGCAACCUACCCCUCCCCUGCCAACCUCUAUUACCACACUGAGAGGAACAGGGAGACAUCACUAAAUUGAGGACCUAGGUAGAGAGAGAAGAAGAGAGUGUCCUGUCAGCCUUCAAAGGUUAUUCAGAGCUCUUGGUGCAGGAAGGCCCUGCUAGAAAACUCCAAGAGUCCAGGAGGGCCUUGGGCAUAAAAGCUCAGAGUUGUCCUCAAGAAGCAACUGCAUGGCAGUUAUAUCAGAUGCACAUUCAACAAUAAUAAUAGCAAAACCUUACACAGACCUACAAGCCCUUAUCCACACUUCAGAGAUCCCAGUGUUUCUGAACAAAAUAAUGUAACACCAAAACUCAUUGGGUAGCCAAAACCUAACCUGAACAGAUGUAUGAAUACUCGUAUAUUGUUUUCUGCAGAAAUAUUAAUGUGUUUCGUUAUGGGAUGCUAAGCCAGAUCCCACUACCCACUAGUGUGUUAUAUAAGUCAUGUGCUUUCCAAAAUCCCAAAACUCCCUAAAUUCCAAAAUGCAUCAGGAUCCUGAGACACUGGAGUUUCAGUUAAGGAGUUGUGACCUGUGUAGCUUCCUCCAUGACAGGCACUGUUCUAACUGCUCUCCAUAAUAUUAAUUCAUUCAAUCCUUACAAUGACCUGACAGAGUAGAACUUACUAUUAUUCUUCCAAUUUUAUAGAUAAGGAAACUGAGGCAGAGAGAGGUAAAGUGACUUGCCCAAACACAUACAGCUAAUGAAUGCUGCAACUGAAGCUUCCAGAGCCUAGUUCCAGAGCCCACUCUCCGAACAAGUCUACCAUCUAUUUCCCUUAAAAGGGCUGGUGAGGCCGGGCGCAGUGGCUCACACCUGUAAUCCCAGCACUUUGGGAGGCUGAGGUGGGUGGAUCACCUGAGGUCAGAAGUUUGAGACCACCCUGCCAACAUGGUGAAACCCCAUCUCUAUUAAAAAUACAAAAAUUAGGUGGGCGUGGUGGCGGGCACCUGUAAUCUCAGCUACUCGGGAGGCUGAGGCAGGAGAACUGCUGGAACCCAGGAGGCAGAGGUUGCAGUGAGCCGAAUCCGUGUCAUUGCACUCCAGCCCAGGCCAACAACAGCAAGAAUUCGUAUUAAAAAAAAGGCUGGUGAGAGGGGCGUGGAGGUUGAGGGGUGUGGUAAACUGUAGGAGAUAACGAUUUUAUGUUGUGUGUGUGCUAUGGUUUGGAUGUGGUUUGUCUCCUCCAAAAUGCAUGUAGAAACUUGGUCCCCAAUGUAAUGGUAUUGGGAGGUGGGGCCUUUAAGAGGGGAUUAGGUCAUUAGGAGGGAUUAAUGCCUUUCUCACAGGAGUGGGUUAAUUCUCACAGAAGUGGGUGAGUUAUUGAGAGCAGUUCAUUACAAAAGUGAGUUUGGCUUCCUCGGCUUUCUCUUGCUUCCUCGGCUUUCUCUUGCUUCCUCUCACCCUACGAUGCAUUCUGCUGUGUUACAACACAGCACGAGGCCCUCACCAGAAGCUGACCAGAUCCAGCCACCCUGUCUUGGACUUCCCAGCCUCCAGAACUGUAAAAAACAAACCCCUUUUCUUUGUCAAUUACCCAGUCCCAUGGGUUCUAUGACAGCAACAGAAAGUGGACAAAUUGUGUAACAUGCACAUGUCCAGGAGGGUGUGUGAGAGGUAAUCCUGUUGUUACGGUUGUUCUGUAGGGUGACCACAAUUGGGAAUUUCCCUGGGACUGUUUUGGUUUUAGCACUGAAAACUCUGUAUUUCAAUAAACUACUCAGACCUGGUAAACCAGGAUGGUUGGUCACCCUAGUUCUUGGCCUCUUUUCCUAUGAGCAACAUGAGGCUCAUGACCCACUGAGGAAGAUUCUAGGAUCUGAAGAUGCACUUUGUCUACAUAACACAGCUUCUCAACCCAAACCAGGAUCUCCAGCAGGCACUUACUCAAGACAUGGGGAAGAAGCCCCGGAGAAAAUGCUGGCUGUAUCAGAUUCAGUGAGGGACGAUGCCUCUGUCUCCACCUGGCAUCUUCCUAAGAGGUUUUCAAGGACCAAUGUGACUCUAUCAGGCUUUCACCUUGAGUGUUGAUGCUGGCCUCCAUUGUAAAUACAGUGGGAAUACACUUGAUAUUCUAAUUUAGAAAUGCCUGACUCUCAUCCCCAGCUUUGAAUUUUAACUCCUCAAAGUCCAAAGUGACUUCUUAGGAAUGACCCACACCAUGAGCUCAUAUCUAUCUUCCUGAGGCCUGCCCAGACCUGUCGAAGUAGAGAGAAGAAGACAAGGCCCCUGCUCUUGAGAAGCAGGUAUGGGCUAUGGAGGCAGGACAGAACUAUGCCCCAGGUUCAGAGAGUGGGGAAGAGAGUCCUGUGUGCCGAGGGCUCCCAUGGACUCCUGGAGCAGGAUAAGGAAGGAAUGGGGGAAGGAUGGGGAUACCAUACAAUCCUCCUGAGGGCUGAGGAUUCCCCCAGUCAAGAACUGAGGCUGGAGACUGCUGUUUAAACAUGGCAGGUUGAACACACUUAUUUCUCUCCAUUGUUCUCUGAAAUUCCAAGAAAAUGACACAGGGAUUUUUUUUUUAAAUGCACAUCUAUCUACUGGG